CUGGUUGAUCCUGCCAGUAGUCAUAUGCUUGUCUCAAAGAUUAAGCCAUGCAUGUCUAAGUACAAACCUUAAUACGGUGAAAACCGCGAAUGGCUCAUUAAAUCAGCUAUGGUUCCUUAGAUCGUCUCAUCCUACUCGGAUAACUGUGGAAAAUCUAGAGCUAAUACGUGCUUACAAGCCCUGACCUCACGGGAGGGGCGCAUUUAUUAGAUCAAAACCAAUCGGGCUUGCCCCGUCUGCUUGGUGACUCUGGAUAACUUUUGUGCUGAUCGCAUGGCCUCUGCGCUGGCGACGUAUCUUUCAAGUGUCUGCCCUAUCAACUUACGAUGGUAGGUGAUAAUGCCUACCAUGGUUAUAACGGGUAACGGGGAAUCAGGGUUCGAUUCCGGAGAGGGAGCCUGAGAAAACGGCUACCACAUCUAAGGAAGGCAGCAGGCGGCGCGCAAAUUACCCACUCCGGCACGGGGAGGUAGUGACGAAAAAUAACGAUACGGGACUCUUUUGAGGCCCCGUAAUUGGAAGGUAUACCGCACUUAUAGAAAUCCAGGUAACAUAAUAUUCUAUCUGUGAAACGACGGGAGUGACUAAAGUAUCAUUGAAUCCUAAUUAUUGCCAAGCUUAGAGUUUUAACCGCGUUUAAGAAAAUUUUCAACAGCCAAAUCACAAAUAGCGUAUACA
rnacentral:ncRNA from 1 species